UUAAGCGACUAAGCGUACACGGUGGAUGCCCUGGCAGUCAGAGGCGAUGAAGGACGUGCUAAUCUGCGAUAAGCGUCGGUAAGGUGAUAUGAACCGUUAUAACCGGCGAUUUCCGAAUGGGGAAACCCAGUGUGAUUCGUCACACUAUCAUUAACUGAAUCCAUAGGUUAAUGAGGCGAACCGGGGGAACUGAAACAUCUAAGUACCCCGAGGAAAAGAAAUCAACCGAGAUUCCCCCAGUAGCGGCGAGCGAACGGGGAGCAGCCCAGAGCCUGAAUCAGUGUGUGUGUUAGUGGAAGCGUCUGGAAAGGCGCGCGAUACAGGGUGACAGCCCCGUACACAAAAAUGCACAUGCUGUGAGCUCGAUGAGUAGGGCGGGACACGUGGUAUCCUGUCUGAAUAUGGGGGGACCAUCCUCCAAGGCUAAAUACUCCUGACUGACCGAUAGUGAACCAGUACCGUGAGGGAAAGGCGAAAAGAACCCCGGCGAGGGGAGUGAAAAAGAACCUGAAACCGUGUACGUACAAGCAGUGGGAGCACGCUUAGGCGUGUGACUGCGUACCUUUUGUAUAAUGGGUCAGCGACUUAUAUUCUGUAGCAAGGUUAACCGAAUAGGGGAGCCGAAGGGAAACCGAGUCUUAACUGGGCGUUAAGUUGCAGGGUAUAGACCCGAAACCCGGUGAUCUAGCCAUGGGCAGGUUGAAGGUUGGGUAACACUAACUGGAGGACCGAACCGACUAAUGUUGAAAAAUUAGCGGAUGACUUGUGGCUGGGGGUGAAAGGCCAAUCAAACCGGGAGAUAGCUGGUUCUCCCCGAAAGCUAUUUAGGUAGCGCCUCGUGAAUUCAUCUCCGGGGGUAGAGCACUGUUUCGGCAAGGGGGUCAUCCCGACUUACCAACCCGAUGCAAACUGCGAAUACCGGAGAAUGUUAUCACGGGAGACACACGGCGGGUGCUAACGUCCGUCGUGAAGAGGGAAACAACCCAGACCGCCAGCUAAGGUCCCAAAGUCAUGGUUAAGUGGGAAACGAUGUGGGAAGGCCCAGACAGCCAGGAUGUUGGCUUAGAAGCAGCCAUCAUUUAAAGAAAGCGUAAUAGCUCACUGGUCGAGUCGGCCUGCGCGGAAGAUGUAACGGGGCUAAACCAUGCACCGAAGCUGCGGCAGCGACGCUUAUGCGUUGUUGGGUAGGGGAGCGUUCUGUAAGCCUGUGAAGGUGUGCUGUGAGGCAUGCUGGAGGUAUCAGAAGUGCGAAUGCUGACAUAAGUAACGAUAAAGCGGGUGAAAAGCCCGCUCGCCGGAAGACCAAGGGUUCCUGUCCAACGUUAAUCGGGGCAGGGUGAGUCGACCCCUAAGGCGAGGCCGAAAGGCGUAGUCGAUGGGAAACAGGUUAAUAUUCCUGUACUUGGUGUUACUGCGAAGGGGGACGGAGAAGGCUAUGUUGGCCGGGCGACGGUUGUCCCGGUUUAAGCGUGUAGGCUGGUUUUCCAGGCAAAUCCGGAAAAUCAAGGCUGAGGCGUGAUGACGAGGCACUACGGUGCUGAAGCAACAAAUGCCCUGCUUCCAGGAAAAGCCUCUAAGCAUCAGGUAACAUCAAAUCGUACCCCAAACCGACACAGGUGGUCAGGUAGAGAAUACCAAGGCGCUUGAGAGAACUCGGGUGAAGGAACUAGGCAAAAUGGUGCCGUAACUUCGGGAGAAGGCACGCUGAUAUGUAGGUGAAGUCCCUCGCGGAUGGAGCUGAAAUCAGUCGAAGAUACCAGCUGGCUGCAACUGUUUAUUAAAAACACAGCACUGUGCAAACACGAAAGUGGACGUAUACGGUGUGACGCCUGCCCGGUGCCGGAAGGUUAAUUGAUGGGGUCAGCGCAAGCGAAGCUCUUGAUCGAAGCCCCGGUAAACGGCGGCCGUAACUAUAACGGUCCUAAGGUAGCGAAAUUCCUUGUCGGGUAAGUUCCGACCUGCACGAAUGGCGUAAUGAUGGCCAGGCUGUCUCCACCCGAGACUCAGUGAAAUUGAACUCGCUGUGAAGAUGCAGUGUACCCGCGGCAAGACGGAAAGACCCCGUGAACCUUUACUAUAGCUUGACACUGAACAUUGAGCCUUGAUGUGUAGGAUAGGUGGGAGGCUUUGAAGUGUGGACGCCAGUCUGCAUGGAGCCGGCCUUGAAAUACCACCCUUUAAUGUUUGAUGUUCUAACGUGGACCCGUAAUCCGGGUUGCGGACAGUGUCUGGUGGGUAGUUUGACUGGGGCGGUCUCCUCCUAAAGAGUAACGGAGGAGCACGAAGGUUGGCUAAUCCUGGUCGGACAUCAGGAGGUUAGUGCAAUGGCAUAAGCCAGCUUGACUGCGAGCGUGACGGCGCGAGCAGGUGCGAAAGCAGGUCAUAGUGAUCCGGUGGUUCUGAAUGGAAGGGCCAUCGCUCAACGGAUAAAAGGUACUCCGGGGAUAACAGGCUGAUACCGCCCAAGAGUUCAUAUCGACGGCGGUGUUUGGCACCUCGAUGUCGGCUCAUCACAUCCUGGGGCUGAAGUAGGUCCCAAGGGUAUGGCUGUUCGCCAUUUAAAGUGGUACGCGAGCUGGGUUUAGAACGUCGUGAGACAGUUCGGUCCCUAUCUGCCGUGGGCGCUGGAGAACUGAGGGGGGCUGCUCCUAGUACGAGAGGACCGGAGUGGACGCAUCACUGGUGUUCGGGUUGUCAUGCCAAUGGCACUGCCCGGUAGCUAAAUGCGGAAGAGAUAAGUGCUGAAAGCAUCUAAGCACGAAACUUGCCCCGAGAUGAGUUCUCCCUGACUCCUUGAGAGUCCUGAAGGAACGUUGAAGACGACGACGUUGAUAGGCCGGGUGUGUAAGCGCAGCGAUGCGUUGAGCUAACCGGUACUAAUGAACCGUGAGGCUUAACCUU
rnacentral:rRNA from 1 species